rnacentral:rRNA from 1 species
AUGUCGGGCCGCUCUGGGCCCACCUCCCACCCGUGUCUCUUGCGUACUUUGUUGCUUUGGCGGGCCCACUGGGUCACUCCGGUCGCCGGGGAGCGCGAUGCUCCCGGGCCCGUGCCCGCCAGAGCACCCCUGUGAACCCUGAUGAAGAGAGGCUGUCUGAGUCCCACGAUAAUCGUUAAAACUUUCAACAAUGGAUCUCUUGGUUCCGGCAUCGAUGAAGAACGCAGCGAAAUGCGAUAAGUAAUGUGAAUUGCAGAAUUCCGUGAAUCAUCGAAUCUUUGAACGCACAUUGCGCCCCCUGGCAUUCCGGGGGGCAUGCCUGUCCGAGCGUCAUUUCUGCCCUCAAGCGCGGCUUGUGUGUUGGGCGUGGUCCCCCUGGCUUUGGCGGGGACCUGCCCGAAAGGCAGCGGCGACGUCCCGCCUAGUCCUCGAGCGUAUGGGGCUCUGUCACGCGCUCGGGAGGGACUGGUGGGCGUUGGUCACCCCUUAUUCUUUCUACGGUUGACCUCGGAUCAGGUAGGAGUUACCCGCUGAACUUAAGCAUAUCAAUAAGGGGGGGAGGAAUUCUCCCGAGUGCGGGCCCCUCUCUGGGCCCAACCCCCACCGUGUUCUCUGGCGUACUUUGCUGCUUUGGCGG